rnacentral:lncRNA from 1 species
AUGGUAAAUGAGCAUCGUUCAAUUGUUUUUAUCAAAUAAUUUAAUAAAACUUCAUAAUACUCCCUAAAUCGAUGGAAUAACCAAUAUAAGUUAUUAUUUUCGUGAUAAACGGAGACGACAAAGGCUCCAAACCUCUUUGAACAUCAUCAUAUGUUAGUGCAGAAUGCAACUAGGCAUUAAAAAAAUAUUGUCAUAUUUUUGAAAUUUUCUCAAAAUCUAUGGGCUAACCCCUACAAAAAUAUUGAGUUUUUGGUAAAUACUUUAUAUACUGAAGCCUAUAAUUUUUAGUGUAUUUUUAAAAUUUCUACCAUAUUCUACAUUUGUAUUUAUGUAUGCUAAACUAUUUUUCAUGGUUAAUGAGCAUCGUUCAAUUGUUUUUAUCAAAUAAUUUAAUAAAACUUCAUAAUACUCCAUAAAUCGAUUGAAUAACCACUAUAAAGUUAUUAUUUUCUUGAUAAACGGAGACGACAAAGGCUCCAAACCCCUUUGAACAUCAUCAUAUGUUAGUGCAGGAUGCAACUAGGCAUUAAAACAAUAUUGUCAUAUUUUUUGAAAUUUUUUCAAAAUCUAUGGGCUAACCCCUACAAAAAUAUUGAGUUUUUGGUAAAUACUUUGUAUACUGAAGCCUAUAAUCUUUAGUGUUGUUUUAAAAUUUCUACCAUAUUCUACAUUUGUAUUAAUGUAUGCUAAACUCUUUUUCAUUGUAAAUGAGCAUCGUUCAAUGGUUUUUAUCAAAUAAUUUAGUAAAACUUCAUAAUACUCCCUAAAUCGAUGGAAUAACCAC